rnacentral:sRNA from 1 species
AACUCUUGCCUUCACCUUUCUUGUUCGCAGAUGUUUUGAAGUACCACGUGAUGAGUGACUACACGCUGUUUACCAUUGGCAUGACCCACAGCAUGACCCUCAAGUCAGCUGACCAGCACCAUGACCUCCUGAUGAUCUUAGAAGAUGGUAACGGCGGUCUGUUCGUGAAUCAUGCCAAGAUUGUAGAGAGAGACAUCGCUUGUAUU